ACAUACCGAAAUAAGGUGAAACCGCGAAAGGCUCAUUAAAUCAGUUAUGGUUCAUUAGAUCGUACACACAUUUACUUGGAUAACUGUGGUAAUUCUAGAGCUAAUACAUGCUUACAGAGCUCCGACCGGAGACGGAAGGAGUGCUUUUAUUAGAUCAAAACCAAUCGGCGGCGGCGCGGCAACGCGUCGUCGUCGCAAAUUUAUGACGAAUCUGAAUAACUUUACGCCGAUCGCACGGUCCAGUACCGGCGACGCAUCUUUCAAAUGUCUGCCUUAUCAACUUUCGAUGGUAGGUUCUGCGCCUACCAUGGUUGUUACGGGUAACGGGGAAUCAGGGUUCGAUUCCGGAGAGGGAGCCUGAGAAACGGCUACCACAUCCAAGGAAGGCAGCAGGCGCGCAAAUUACCCACUCCCGGCACGGGGAGGUAGUGACGAAAAAUAACGAUACGGGACUCAUCCGAGGCCCCGUAAUCGGAAUGAGUACACUUUAAAUCCUUUAACGAGGAUCAAUUGGAGGGCAAGUCUGGUGCCAGCAGCCGCGGUAAUUCCAGCUCCAAUAGCGUAUAUUAAAGUUGUUGCGGUUAAAAAGCUCGUAGUCGAAAUUUGUGUCCCGCGCCGCCGGUUCAUCGCUCGCGGUGUUUAACUGGCGUGUACGCGGGACGUCCUGCCGGUGGGCGUCUGCGUGCGGGGCCGUGUGUCCGCGUGACGUGCCUCCCCGUCGUCUUCGGACGGCGGUGGGUCGGUUUUUCGUCCGCGGGCCCGUCUCGUGCGCGGCCCAACAUUGAACCCGUCGCGGUGCUCUUCGCCGAGUGUCGAGGCGGGCCGGCACAUUUACUUUGAACAAAUUAGAGUGCUUAAAGCAGGCCAAAAAUUUGCCUGAAUAUUCUGUGCAUGGAAUAAUGGAAUAGGACCUCGGUUCUAUUUUGUUGGUUUUCUGAACUCCGAGGUAAUGAUUAAUAGGAACGGAUGGGGGCAUUCGUAUUGCGACGUUAGAGGUGAAAUUCUUGGAUCGUCGCAAGACGGACAGAAGCGAAAGCAUUUGCCAAAAACGCUUUCAUUGAUCAAGAACGAAAGUUAGAGGUUCGAAGGCGAUCAGAUACCGCCCUAGUUCUAACCAUAAACGAUGCCAGCUAGCGAUCCGCCGACGUUCCUCCGAUGACUCGGCGGGCAGCUUCCGGGAAACCAAAGCUUUUGGGUUCCGGGGGAAGUAUGGUUGCAAAGCUGAAACUUAAAGGAAUUGACGGAAGGGCACCACCAGGAGUGGAGCCUGCGGCUUAAUUUGACUCAACACGGGAAACCUCACCAGGCCCGGACACUGAAAGGAUUGACAGAUUGAGAGCUCUUUCUUGAUUCGGUGGGUGGUGGUGCAUGGCCGUUCUUAGUUGGUGGAACGAUUUGUCUGGUUAAUUCCGAUAACGAACGAGACUCUAGCCUGCUAACUAGGCGAAAUUUUAGACAUCUCGAAGGCCCGUCGUUCCGGCAGUCGUGUAUUCGGGUAAGUUCCGCGUUAGCGCGCGGUGCCCUCGUUUCUCGGCCCGGUCGAUCGCGGUUUUUACUGUCUGCGUACACAUUAUUCUUCUUAGAGGGACAGGCGGCUUCUAGCCGCACGAGAUUGAGCAAUAACAGGUCUGUGAUGCCCUUAGAUGUUCUGGGCCGCACGCGCGCUACAAUGAAGGAAUCAGCGUGUGUCCUCCCUGGCCGAACGGCCCGGGUAACCCGCUGAACCUCCUUCGUGCUAGGAAUUGGGGCUUGCAAUUAUUCCCCAUGAACGAGGAAUUCCCAGUAAGCGCGAGUCAUAAGCUCGCGUUGAUUACGUCCCUGCCCUUUGUACACACCGCCCGUCGCUACUACCGAUUGAAUGAUUUAGUGAGGUCUUCGGACCGGUGCUCGAUGGCGUUCCGACGUCGCCG
rnacentral:rRNA from 1 species